rnacentral:rRNA from 1 species
CCCUUAGAUGUUCUGGGCCGCACGCGCGCUACAAUGGCAGACUCAGCGAGUUACCUCUGUCGAAAGGCACAGGGAAUCUUUACAGUAUCUGCCGUGAUGGGGAUAGACCCUUGUAAUUUUUGGUCUUCAACGCGGAAUUCCUAGUAAACGCAAGUCAUUAACUUGCAUUGAUUACGUCCCUGCCCUUUGUACACACCGCCCGUCGCACCUACCGAUUGAAUGGUCCGGUGAAGUCCUCGGACCCAGUUGAACCUCGAGUUGAACAGGGAAAGUUGACUAAAUCUUACCAUUUAGAGGAAGGUGAAGUCGUAACA